rnacentral:rRNA from 1 species
GAUGAACGCUGGCGGCGUGCUUAACACAUGCAAGUCGAGCGAAGCAGUUUUAAGGAAGUUUUCGGAUGGAAUUAAACUGACUGAGCGGCGGACGGGUGAGUAACGCGUGGGUAACCUGCCUCAUACAGGGGGAUAACAGUUGGAAACGACUGCUAAUACCGCAUAAGCGCACAGUGCUGCAUAGCACAGUGUGAAAAACUCCGGUGGUAUGAGAUGGACCCGCGUCCUGAUUAGGUAGUUGGUGGGGUAACGGCCCACCAAGCCGACGAUCAGUAGCCGACCUGAGAGGGUGACCGGCCACAUUGGGACUGAGACACGGCCCAAACUCCUACGGUGGCAG